UGCCGAAGGGUGACGAUGCGACGCCGCGUGAGCGAAGAAGGCCCUAGGGUUGUAAAGCUCUGUCAGGGGUUAAGAAAUGUAGAUAGGUAAUACCCUGUUUAUUUGACAAAAGCCCCAAAGGAAGCCACGGCUAACUCUGUGCCAGCAGCCGCGGUAAUACAGAGGUGGCAAGCGUUGUUCGGUAUUAUUGGGCGUAAAGAGCACGUAGGUGGUUUUGUAAGUCAGAUGUGAAAGCCUUCUGUUCAAAGGAAGAACGGCAUCUGAAACUGCAAAUCUUGAGUGUAGGAGGGGAGAGUGGAACUUCUGGUGGAGCGGUGAAAUGCGUAGAUAUCAGAAGGAACGUCGGCGGCGAAAGCGACUCUCUGGCCUAUUACUGACACUGAGUGUGCGAAGUUAGGGGAGCAAACGGGAUUAGAUACCCCGGUAGUCCUAACCGUAAACGAUGGGCACUAAGUAGAGGGGU
rnacentral:rRNA from 1 species